UACGUAGGGUGCAAGCGUUGUCCGGAAUUAUUGGGCGUAAAGAGCUCGUAGGCGGUUCGUCGCGUCGGCUGUGAAAUCCCGAGGCUCAACCUCGGGUCUGCAGUCGAUACGGGCGGACUGGAGUUCGGCAGGGGAGACUGGAAUUCCUGGUGUAGCGGUGAAAUGCGCAGAUAUCAGGAGGAACACCGGUGGCGAAGGCGGGUCUCUGGACUGGUAUUGACGCUGAGGUGCGAAAGCGUGGGGAGCAAACAGG
rnacentral:rRNA from 1 species